rnacentral:rRNA from 1 species
UCGAGGAUCUUCGGCAAUGGGCGCAAGCCUGACCGAGCGACGCCGCGUGCGCGAUGAAGGCCUUCGGUUGUAAAGCGCUGUCGAGGGGAGGAAAGCCCGCAAGGGUCUGACCUAUCCCUGGAGGAAGCACGGGCUAGGUUCGUGCCAGCAGCCGCGGUAAGACGAACCGUGCGAACGUUGUUCGGAAUCACUGGGCUUAAAGGGCGCGUAGGCGGGCUGCCAAGUCAGGGUGAAAUCUUUCGGCUUAACCGGAAAACAGCUUCUGAUACUGGCAGUCUGGAGGGAGGUAGGGGCGAUGUGGAACUUCUGGUGGAGCGGUGAAAUGCGUAGAUAUCAGAAGGAACGCCGGUGGCGAAAGCGACGUGCUGGACCUUCUCUGACGCUGAGGCGCGAAAGCUAGGGGAGCAAACGGGAUUAGAUACCCCGGUAGUCCUAGCCCUAAACGAUGGGUACUAGGUUGUGGACUAGUCAUGGGUUUGCAGUCGAA